rnacentral:rRNA from 1 species
UACGUAGGGUGCAAGCGUUGUCCGGAAUUAUUGGGCGUAAAGAGCUCGUAGGCGGUUUGUUGCGUCGGCUGUGAAAUCCCGAGGCUCAACCUCGGGUCUGCAGUCGAUACGAGCAAACUAGAGUGUUGCAGGGGAGACUGGAAUUCCUGGUGUAGCGGUGAAAUGCGCAGAUAUCAGGAGGAACACCGGUGGCGAAGGCGGCUCUCUGGAACGCAACUGACGCUGAGACGCGAAAGCGUGGGGAGCAAACAGG